rnacentral:rRNA from 1 species
GAUGAACGCUGGCGGCGUGCCUAAUACAUGCAAGUCGAACGAGGUGCUUUUGUAGCAAUACGAAAGUAUCCUAGUGGCGAACGGGUGAGUAACGCGUUGGUGACCUACCCCAAAGUGUGGGAUAACAGUUCGAAAGAACUGCUAAUACCGCAUGUGGUUAUCGGGUUUAGAAACUGAUAACUAAAGGAGCAAUUCGCUUUGGGAGGGACCUGCGUCCCAUCAGCUAGUUGGUGAGGUAACGGCUCACCAAGGCUACGACGGGUAGGGGACCUGAGAGGGUGACCCCCCACAAUGGAACUGAAACAACGGUCCAUACACCUACGGGUGGCAGCAGUAGGGAAGUAUUGCUCAAUGGGCGGAAAGACCUGAAGCAGCAACGCCGCGUGUGCGAUGAAGGCCUCGGUCGGUAA